UACGAAGGGGACUAGCGUUGUUCGGAAUCACUGGGCGUAAAGCGCACGUAGGCGGAUGUGUCAGUCAGGGGUGAAAUCCCGGGGCUCAACCCCGGAACUGCCUUUGAUACAGCACGUCUCGAGUCCGGAAGAGGUGGGUGGAAUUCCUAGUGUAGAGGUGAAAUUCGUAGAUAUUAGGAAGAACACCGGUGGCGAAGGCGGCCCACUGGUCCGGUACUGACGCUGAGGUGCGAAAGCGUGGGGAGCAAACAGG
rnacentral:rRNA from 1 species